CGGGGGAGCAAGCGUUGUUCGGAUUUACUGGGCGUAAAGGGCGCGUAGGCGGCCAGCGCAAGUCAGUUGUGAAACCUCCGGGCUUAACUCGGAAAGGUCAACUGAUACUGCGCGGCUAGAGUGCAGAAGGGGCAACUGGAAUUCUCGGUGUAGCGGUGAAAUGCGUAGAUAUCGAGAGGAACACCUGCGGCGAAGGCGGGUUGCUGGGCUGACACUGACGCUGAUGCGCGAAAGCCAGGGGAGCGAACGGGAUUAGAUACCCCGGUAGUCCUGGCCUUAAACGAUGGAUGCUUGGUGUCUGGAGUUUUAUAGUCUCCGGGUGCCGUAGCUAACGCGUUAAGCAUCCCGCCUGGGGAGUACGGUCGCAAGACUG
rnacentral:rRNA from 1 species